rnacentral:tRNA from 1 species
GCUGUGAUGGCCGAGAGGUUAAGGCUUGGACUUGAACUCCUUGCGCAGGGUCGUACCCUGCUCAAAACG